UACGGAGGGUGCAAGCGUUGUCCGGAAUCACUGGGCUUAAAGGGUGCGUAGGCGGCCACGUAAGUGAGAUGUGAAAUCCCUCGGCUCAACCGAGGAAGUGCAUUUCAUACUGCAUGGCUUGAGGGAGACAGGGGUAAGCGGAACUGAUGGUGGAGCGGUGAAAUGCGUUGAUAUCAUCAGGAACACCGGUGGCGAAAGCGGCUUCCUGGACCGAUACUGACGCUGAGGCGCGAAAGCUAGGGGAGCAAACGGG
rnacentral:rRNA from 1 species